rnacentral:tRNA from 1 species
GUCCCCGUAGUUCAAUGGAUAGAACAUUUGGUUGCGGACCAAAAGGUUGCAGGUUCGAUUCCUGCCGGGGACA